AUGUAAUUUGAAUACUUAAUUAGCUCAUAGUCUGGUCUCAGGAAAAAAAAAUAUAUAUAUAGUUAUAAUAAAUAGCACUUACUCUCCUCUCAAUAUGUACCAGGCAUUGUUCUAAGUAAUCUACCUGGGUCAAUUUCUUUAACUCUGAGAACAACUUUAGGAGAAUUGGACACAGGUAUUAAGAGCUCAGGAAAUGUGCCAAGGUCACAUAGCCAGUCAGUGGUGAACUUGAGAUUUGACCCAGGUAGUUGGCUCCAAAGCCUGCACUUUUAACAGUCAUUCCAUUUUGCUAAAGCAAUUCUAAUGUAGUGUGGUAAAUAAAAUGAUAGAUUCAUAAAUAGACAUAUAAAUUUAAAAAGGGAAUUGAUCAAAUCUAUCUGUGAAGUGGUUAAGGAAGAUCUCACUAAGGUGGGUGCUACACAGUAGGAUUUUGAAGGCUAAAUAGGGAUUUUCCAGGUAGAGUAGUGGCAUAGUGUCUCUGGUUAAGGAUGUUGAAUUUCACACAGGCUUUAAAUUUGCUUCCUCCUGGAAGUUUAUGCAAAUAAAAAAGAUAGUCUGGUUUUUGUUCUAUGUUACUUUGGAGCACAGGGAGUGGAAUAAACUUGGAAGGACUAACACAAAAGCAGAGAAGAGAGCAGAAACAUAUUGAUAGAAGUGGAAAAAUUCUAAUGGAUAAGUGAGAACUAUGUUAGAAGACUGAAAAAAAAAUUGUUUUUCAGGUGGAGAAAUCUGAGAAACACCUGAUUUCUUUCACACAAGCCUCCUAAUGUUCAGGAUUUGAGGCGCCAGCAUGGUAGAUUGCUAAUGGCGACACAGAUGUUCUAGCUGCAGUGAGGUCUACUCCUUAAACUUGGUAUGAUGACCCUGGUAACUGGGAAAUUGUUGCAGGAUAGCCAAUGUUUAUUUCCUCUGUGGAAGAUUUCAGCACUACUGAGAGGAAGACAGUAGAAAUUUAUACAGCAAACCAAGGGCCAAGAAAUCUUUGGAUAACAAAGCUCAGAGGCUGCAAGUUAUAUAAAAUCCUAUAUGAGAAGCCUCCUGUAGUUGUGCAACACAGAUGUUGCAGUAAUCAGAUAAUGUCCUCUGGCUGCUCUUGCUGAUUUCUCUGAAGACUGGUGUUUUGGAAAGACUGUUGAAUUGAGAAGCAAAGUCCAAGGUUUGCAUUAAUAUUUAGUUGCUUUUAAAAUUUCAACCAGUACCUCUGAAUGUCAGUGUACUUAUCUUCAUUGUUUUGCAUUAAAUGUGGCACUUCUGAAAGUCAGAGACCUCUCUAAACUUUGGCUUACAAUCAAAAUAUGUUUGUAUUCCUACAUUAUCUACGGUGUUAAUAUCAAUGGUGUUAAUAAAAGACUUUGACUUUGAUUUUUUUUAAUGUAG
rnacentral:lncRNA from 1 species